CAUUCUUUCAGUGAAAACCAUGCUUUUCUUUUUUAAUAAUGUCUUCAUUGUAUACAUGAUGGUGUGAUAUGGUGCAUUUCUCUGAAGUCUUCUUUUUUGUUGUUUGGUUAUUUGUGGACAUUUGUUCUGCUGUAGAAUUUUUAGACUCAGUUUAUCAGUUCAAAAAAAUGCAACUGGUUGGAGUUCCCAUCAUGGCUCAGUGGUUAGCAAAUCCGACUAGGAACCAUAAGGUUUCGGGUUUGAUUCCUGGCCUCACUCAGUGGGUUAAGGAUUCGGCGUUGCCGUGGGCUGUGGUGUAGGUUGCAGACACAGCUCAGAUCCUGUGUUGCUGUGGCUCUGGCAUAGGCUGGCAGCUGUAGCUCUGAUUGAACCCCAGCCUGGCAACCUCCAUAUGCCAAGGGAGCGGUCCUAGAAAAGACAAAAAGACAAAAAAAAAAAAAAAAGUGCAACUGGCAUUACGAUUGGUAUUGCAUUGAAUAUGUAGAUUAAUUUGAGGUAAUUAUCAUCUUUAUAAUAUUAAGUUCUUUCGCUCAAGAAUAUGAAUUGUCUCUUCAUUUAUUAAGAUCAUCUGUAUGUCUUUCACUGAAUCUUUAAUUUUUCUCCAUGGCAGUUUUAAAUAGUCUUGGCUAAAUUAAGUCCUAGAUACUGUAUAGUUUUUGAAUUGAAAUUUGUGCUUUGUCUUUUAUAUUUUGUAAUACACUUUUUAUGAUUUUGUAAGUUUAAGAUAUUAAGUGCUGUAUCUGGCAACCAUGCUCAGGUAUCUGAAUAGUUAUGAUACUGGGGGGCUUAACACAUAACACUGGGAGUUCCCGUUGUGGUGCAGUGGUUAACGAAUUUGACUAGGAACCAUGAGGUUUCAGGUUCGGUCCCUGCCCUUGCUCAGUGGGUUAAGGAUCCGACUUUGCUGUGAGCUGUGGUGUAGGUUGCAGACGCAGCUCGGAUCCCGCGUUGCUGUGGCUCUGGUGUAGGCUGGCAGCUAUGGCUUCGAUUCGACCACUAGCCUGGGAACCUCCAUAUGCUGCAGGAACAGCCCAAGAAAUGGCAAAAACACAAAAAUAAAAUAAAAUGAAAUAAAAUAAAAUAAAAUAAGUCAGUAACACUGUACCAAAGGUUAAGGUGUUGGCAGGGCCACACCCAUUCUGGAAGCUCUAAGUGAAAAUCUGUGCCUUGCCUCUUCCUCCUUCUGGUGGCAGCCAGCAUCCCUUCACUCGUGACUACAUCACUGCAAUCUUUGCCUCCAUGGUUACGUUGCCCUCUCUCCUUUUGUAUAUAUCAAGUCUACCUCUGUCUCCAUCUUAUAAAGAGAUACGUGAUUACAUUUAGGCACCACACAUCUAAUCCAACAUAAUCUCUUUAUCUCAAAAUCCUCAAUUUAUUCAUAUCUGCAAGUCUUUGUCAUAUAAGGUAAAAUUUGUAGGUUCUAAGGAAUAACACCUGAUACCUUUGUGGCCAUUGUUCAGCCUACUACACUUUCUCAAGUUGGUAAAAUGUAUGUUUUUCAGUCCCCCAUCUUGCAUGAUAUUUUGAUGAGGAGAUACUCAGACUUCCCCACUAAAGUCAGGUACUAGAGAGGAAUCAUACAGCUUCUAUAUAACAUUAUUUUGAAGCUCUUACUCAUUUUAAUUAAACAAUAGAAAACAAUUGGAGGAUAUAGUAAUUGGAAAUGAAGAGUUAGAACUCGAUUUUCAGAUGACAUGGUUACGUAUCUGAAAAAUCCAGAAUAAUUAAUAAAAAAUGACCUCAAAUAAAAUAAUUGAGUAGUGUAGAAGGUUAUAAAAUUAACAUUCAAAAAUCAAUAACCUUCAUAGUAGAGACAAAAACCAAUUACAAAAUGUAAUGAAGGAGAAAAUCCCUUUUAUUCUUUAUAUAAAGGGAAAGAAGUGCCAGGCUAAAACUUGAUUAGAAUGAUCUAGAACCUACAUGAGCAAAAUAAAUCUGAAAGUUAGAAAAGUUGAUUUCAACAAAUGGAAAAAUGGAUAGAAAACUCAACAGCAUUAAAAAAUAUGUUUUUUUUCCUUUUUUUUUUUUUUUUAGGGCUGCACCCGCAGCAUGUGGAGGUUCCCAGGUUAGGGGUCAAAUCAGUGUUGUAGCCACAGGCCUACACCACAGCCACAGCAACGUCAGAUCCGAGCUGCAUCUGCGACCUACACCACAGUUCACAGCAACACCAAAUCCUUAACCCACUGAGUGACACCACAGAUCGAACCUGCAUCCUCAUGGAUACUUGUCAGAUUCAUAUCUGCUGAACCACGAUGGGAACUCCAAAAAAAUUGUUUUCUCUAUUUUAAUUUAUAAAUUUAUGUAAUGCCUAAUAAUAAUAUCAUCAGAUUUUCUUCCCCUGCAGCAACACAAGUUGAUCGUAAAACUUAUCUGAAAGAACAAACAAGCAAGAAUGGGAGAAAACAUCCUGAAAGAGGAUAGCCAAUUGGUUUGGGGAGUCCCCAUCGUGGCUUAGUUGUUGAUGAACCUGACUAGUAUCCAUGAGGACGAGGGUUCAAUCCCUGGCCUCGCUCAGUGUGUUAAGGAUUGGUAUUGGGGUGAACUGUGGUAUAGGUCACAGAUGCGGCUCAGAUCCCCCGUUGCUGUGGCCAUGGUGUAGGCCGGCGGCCACAGCUCUGAUUAGACCUCUACCCUGAGAACUUCCAUAUGCUGC
rnacentral:lncRNA from 1 species